UGACGAAACACUGCCUCUCCCGCACCUUGA
rnacentral:piRNA from 1 species